GUUGGUGCAAAAGUAAUUGCGGUCUUUGCCAUUACUUUCAAUGACAAAAACCGCAAUUACUUUU
rnacentral:miRNA from 1 species